GUAGAUCAAUUUCCUUAGCCGAAUAUAGCAAGAAUCCGACAACUGACGACUUGACAACUCUCAUCGGCUAAUCUCAUGACUUCGAAGCCGAUGCUGACUCUAAGCGAUGACUACUCCGGGCUUACCAAAUUUCACUGUUAACAAGAGCUUGAGCUAGGACGAUGGUUUUGUUUACCGGAGUAUAGUGUUUUCUUCCUGUCCAACAAUUGAUUAUCAAGCCAUGCUUUACAAGUGUUACUUGCAAGAGAACUUUUAUGGUACAACAAACUGAUAGUAUUAACCGCUGGAAUAAAUGAUCUAAUGCUAUAAAUUGAUUUGAUCUCCCACUUAUAAAUAGAUGGUAGUAUAAAAUUUUACAGGGUAGAUUCAUCUUUCUUUGCUAUUCUGCAAGGGUCAUUUUUUGUUAAAAAAAGGGAAGUAAUUAAUUUAGAUAAAAAAAUGGUACCGUCGCCUGGGGUGUAUGAGCAAGACUUAGAACGUGUAAGACCUUUCACACACAUCUGCUAUGUUACAACUUACAUUAUUUGAUCGGUAAUUGGUCACUUGUAACCAAAGUAUGUAGAUUUUUAAUGAUGAUCAGAAUCGACCAGGAAUCGUGCCACUGCGAUGCUCGUCAUUGUCUCUCGCGGGCGUACAAAUGAGAUCCAACAACAAUGCUAGUGGCCCGACACAUGAACGAGUCCUAAUUGGACCGAAUUGACUCUCAACAACGAAAUUACUAGAAAAUUUUCUCCAAUUUUCGAUAGGACUCCAAAUUUUCCUAUCUAUAUACCGGCAGUAUGUUGUACUGUAAAAGUUCUAAUUUUUCAACUAAUCAUCGGCUGCUAAUGUUCAACACCUUAAAACAUUUGCUCAAACACAUUAAAAAAUUUGCUGCAAUUUUUCUCUAUUACUGCAUACUCAUUGUUGGUUGAACGAUUUACAUCACAGGUUCACCAAAACUGGUAUACUUUGAUGUCCUGUCUAUCUGGGGACUAUGGCAAGUAGUUCAUCACCUCUAUGAAGAACUUGGAGUAUUCAUGCUUGAUCCUACAAUCAUCACUGCAAAAGACUACAUAGCCUCCCCAUCCCUACUCCACGCCGCAGCAGGCGGUCAUGCACUGGUGGCUAUCCUCCGGUAGCACCAGCAUCCUACUGCGACACCCUCCAACCUUCCACAUUGCUUCCUGGAUCACGUCCUCAGUGAUCUUCCAGCACCGUUGGCACUCCCGGUUGAUCCUCUUGACUCCAACACCGGUCGCUGCCUUAUCGCUGUCACCCUCGACUUGGCUGAUGCACUUCUUCCUGGUAGCGUGAGCCUCAUUGGACUUGUAGAGGAGGAGGAUGAGCACGUAUGCCGCCAUCUUGUGGCCAGAGGUGGCUGCCUUAUUGAGGAAGAGGAGGCCUUGCUUCAUGUCCUGAUGUGUGAAGACGAGCGUGACACCGAUGAUGAAGCCGGCGCUAACGAGGUGGUUGACGACGGUGAGGUAGCGCUCGUUCUCCAUCCAUUUCAUGUUGUUCGGCCUCUCCAGCGGCACAUGCCUCCCGACAUCACCUUCCUUGGCAUACACCCAUAGACAUAUACAAGUCAUUAUACAAAUAAUUUUAUAUGUGUAUAUAAAUAAGCUUAUAUUAGCAAGUUAACAUACGUGGCAUGUAGGCUGAGUAGGUCGGUAAUAGACUCCGACGAGGUGGCAGCGACGAGGCAGGCGAUGUGGACGAUGCUAUCAUAGCAAAGCGCCAACUCUUUCAUUGUUGCCGACGCUGCCGAUGGCCUCUUCAACUUCUUCGCAUUCGCUUUCACCGCCAUGCUCCAGGUGGACACCAUAGCACCUUAUGCGCAAGACACAUGGUACGUGAACUCACUUGGAUGUGUUAAUUAAUCACUGCUAGGUUGAUCCCUUCUUAAACUCUUGUAACAAUAGCCUUAUUUAGCUAUUUAUAACUCGGGCCAUGAAUGCCAGCCAAAAUUAGAUUUGAAACGAACGCGUAAAAAGAUUACACACCUUAUCUCAUUUAAUUUCUUCUCUACUAUAUAUUAUAAAAAUUGAAUAAAGAUGUUCCCUUCUAAAUCUUUGGUACAUGGUCGUAUGUCUGAUAGCCCGCCCGCAUGAUUCCCACGCAACUAAGUACUAUCGAUUCUGAUUUCGAUUCCGAUUCCAAUUCUGAUUUCUUCGUCCAUCGUCUCUCGUUGUCCGUCUCCUCGGGUCGAACAUUGCUUGGCCGCUGUUGUUGCUGGCGGCCUGCUGCUCA
rnacentral:sRNA from 1 species